rnacentral:rRNA from 1 species
UAGGGAAUCUUCCACAAUGGACGCAAGUCUGAUGGAGCAACGCCGCGUGAGUGAAGAAGGUUUUCGGAUCGUAAAGCUCUGUUGUUGGUGAAGAAGGAUAGAGGCAGUAACCGGUCUUUAUUUGACGGUAAUCAACCAGAAAGUCACGGCUAACUACGUGCCAGCAGCCGCGGUAAUACGUAGGUGGCAAGCGUUGUCCGGAUUUAUUGGGCGUAAAGCGAGCGCAGGCGGAAUGAUAAGUCUGAUGUGAAAGCCCACGGCUCAACCGUGGAACUGCAUCGGAAACUGUCAUUCUUGAGUGCAGAAGAGGAGAGUGGAACUCCAUGUGUAGCGGUGGAAUGCGUAGAUAUAUGGAAGAACACCAGUGGCGAAGGCGGCUCUCUGGUCUGCAACUGACGCUGGGGCUCGAAAGCAUGGGUAGCGAACAGGAUUAGAUACCCUGGUAGUCCAUGCCGUAAACGAUGAGCGCU